AUACUUACUUGGCAGGGGAUACACCAUGAUCAUGAAGGUGGUUUUCCCAGGUUAGGCUUAUCCAUUGGCCUCUAGGUAUGCUGACCUCAUGAUUUCCCCAAAUGUGGGAAACUUGACAGUAUAAUUUGUGGUUUAA
rnacentral:snRNA from 1 species